rnacentral:lncRNA from 1 species
UCGAAGGCAUUAUCAGCUUCGUCUCAACAGAUUGGAAUAUACCAACUAUAAUAUAAUGACAUUUCACCUCUCAUAAAUUGAAAAUCAAAAUCUUCAUAAAUUAAAUAAAUAACCUUACCAAAUAUGUUCCAAAUUCAAAUCUCUUAUGCUAAUCUUCUCGACCAUUUAUACUAAUUAAGAAAACCCUAGCCAGAUUUAGGUGGAGGAAAUGGGAAACGAAGGGGAGAGCGAAUCACGAAAACCUCAUUACAACAUCUCCAUGUCAAGAAGAACAAGAAAGGGUGAUAAGAAAAGGUGUGAGGAGAGAGAGAUGAGGAGCGAGAAUCAGAAAAUUAGCUUGAAGCAGUUUAUGGAAGGAAGAUGUUCGCUGGCGCAACACUUCAGAGAGGAGGAGAAGCAGCAGAGCGAGAGUGAUGAACGGCUCGGAUUGAAGAGAUCGAUGAAGACAAAUUAUGCUCAGCUUCUCACCCAUCUCAUCAAGGUAAACCACGAAUCCUAUAUUAGGUCAUGGAGGAAAUCUGCAGUUUCACUAAAACUUAUCAAGUACAAGUGAAAACUCCCACCAUCAUUUAUAUAUGUAUAUAUAUUCAUCAUCUGGGAACUUUCUCACGAUUUAUUGAAGAUGCCUUGUACAAUUUAUGUAUAGUAUGCUGAGAUCUUGUGGUAUUGUGCUGAUUCAACCUUUUUUUUUUCUUUUUCUUUUGAUGAAUUGGUGUAAGAUAUAUGUAUGUAUCAUGUUGGUACUUGGUAUUUAAUAAAAUAAAACAAAAAAUUUAGUCGGAA